rnacentral:rRNA from 1 species
AGAGUUUGAUCCUGGCUCAGAGUUAACGCUGGCAGCGUGCAUAACACAUGCAAGUCGAGCGAGAUACAUAGCGUAGCAAUACGAAGUGUGUCUAGCGGCAGACGGGUGAGUAACACGUGAGAAAUCUGCCUCCGAGAAGGGGACAACCUGCCGAAAGGCGGGCUAAUACCCUGUACAAUCCCUAGAAGGCAUCUUCAGGG